GAUGAACGCUGGCGGCGUGCCUAAUACAUGCAAGUCGAGCGAACGGACGAGAAGCUUGCUUCUCUGAUGUUAGCGGCGGACGGGUGAGUAACACGUGGAUAACCUACCUAUAAGAAUGGGAUAACUUCGGGAAACCGGAGCUAAUACCGGAUAAUAUUUUGAACCGAAUGGUUCAAAAGUGAAAGACGGUCUUGCUGUCACUUAUAGAUGGAUCCGCGCUGCAUUAACUAGUUGGUAAGGUAACGGCUUACCAAGGCAACGAUGACUAGCCGACCUGAGAGGGUGAUCGGCCACACUGGAACUGAGACACGGUCCAGACUCCUACGGGAGGCAGCAGUAGGGAAUCUUCCGCAAUGGGCGAAAGCCUGACGGAGCAACGCCGCGUGAGUGAUGAAGGUCUUCGGAUCGUAAAACUCUGUUAUUAGGGAAGAACAUAUGUGUAAGUAACUGUGCACAUCUUGACGGUACCUAAUCAGAAAGCCACGGCUAACUACGUG
rnacentral:rRNA from 1 species